rnacentral:rRNA from 1 species
AUGCCCUAUGCCGCCACCGAUGCCUCCUCCUCCACCUUCAUUCCCAAGCGACGGCGCCCACAGUCGCGGUCUUCUCCCCCAGCCACCGUGGCUGCAGAUCCACUCACGGCCGGUCGUCUAAGCUGCAAGCAUGGAUGGAUGGAUCUAGGAAGGUAUCCUUCCUCCCUGGGUGGAGCGAGCUGCACAUCCCAUUCGGCCCUCUGUAGUCGGCCAUCUCCGCCUCCUCCUCGCCGUCGCCGCCGCCGGGGAUCGCGUCUUCACCAAGCACGAGCUCCGCCCCAUCCGACCGACCGCAAAGGGAUUGUCCAUUGUAAAUUUUCAAGGAGAUUCAAAUGUUCCUCUUCUGGAUGA